rnacentral:other from 1 species
GUCAGAUAAAUAUUAAAUUUAUUAUUUUCAGUACCGCAUUCGUUAAUUAAUACUCAGGAUAUUGGGUAAAAAACGAUAUACAGCGUCAAUUUUAUUAAUCAAAUAUAAAGGAAUACAGCAUGUCUAGCUCAACAACUGGGGUAGUAAAGUGGUUUAAUGAAGAGAAAGGUUUUGGUUUUAUUACUCAGGAUAAUGGCGGCGCUGAUGUGUUUGUUCAUUUUCGUGCUAUUGCAUCUGAAGGUUUCAAAACCUUAGCUGAAGGCCAAAAAGUGUCUUACAAAGUUGAGCAAGGUCAAAAAGGCCCGCAGGCAUCUAACGUUUGUGCAAUAUAAUCUUAAUGCCUUUAUUUGUUAGAUGAAAAAGCCCGACUUAAGUCGGGCUUUUUAUU